rnacentral:lncRNA from 1 species
UACCCAAUAUAUGGAUUGGACUAGUCACAUGAUUUCAAACUCAUUUGUGUAGACACAGUGUCAUCAACUCUUGAAUCAAUCAGAAGGGUUAACAUUUUAAUCAGUUCCUUUAAUCAACUCUGUCCUGCAGAACUAUCAGUAGAAACGUCCACAUAUUUAACUUUACAAAAACAUAUUUUAAAGAUGAUGUUUCUCAUAGUUAAUGUCAUUAAGAUGAAGGUGAUGGAAAAUCUCUGGGCCCUGUAAUCCAGGAUUGCUUCCUCUCUUACUCUGUGCAAUUUUUCUCAACUUUAUACAUCUUUUCCAUAUAUCCAUAGAUGUUAUAGACAACAUGUACUCGUGCCUAGAUGGAGGAUGAAGGAUCUGAAUAAUGUUACAAUCACCACCUAAAUGAUCUUUGGAUCUUUCUAGGGCCUAUUUGUUUCCUGUAAAAAAUACACUCACAUUUGGUGAACAGAGCUCUGAAACAGAAGGAACAGAACCUGGAAUCCUUCUGGUGACACCUGGAGCUACAAGAACACCUGUGAUGUAAUUCUAACAAUCCUCUGGACUCCAAUUUCAAUGCCUUCUCCCCUUCCCCAGAAACUUCUGUGCCUCUGCUACCAAGUGGACAACAGGAAGAACAGAAUGUAUUUUGUAGAAAUCCCAGGGAAUGGAAAUAAUCCCAAAUCCACUGUCGACAUUCCCCAAAGCUAAUUGCUAUGAGGGCAAUGAAAUAUUGAAUGGCUGAUAGAAAAAUUUAGCCUGUGGAUCUUUUGGACAGUCAAGAUUUCUUAUAAAAAUUGAAGAACCAUUGUCUACUGAAAUGGCAUUUUCUUACUCUGGCUGUGGAGAUAUGGUUCAUCUUUAAUAGGUAAGAUUCGUGUAUACUUUCAUCUGCCUGGGAUGUUUUUAGUAUGGC